rnacentral:rRNA from 1 species
UACGAAGGGGGCUAGCGUUGCUCGGAAUGACUGGGCGUAAAGGGCGCGUAGGCGGAUUGUACAGUCAGGCGUGAAAUUCCUGGGCUCAACCUGGGGGCUGCGUUUGAUACGUAUGGUCUUGAGUGGGGAAGAGGGUCGUGGAAUUCCCAGUGUAGAGGUGAAAUUCGUAGAUAUUGGGAAGAACACCGACGGCGAAGGCAGCCGUCUGGACCGACACUGACGCUGAGGCGCGAAAGCGUGGGGAGCAAACAGG